AUGAAGAAGAUUGAAGAAAUCGAGAGUAAGAUGAAAGACCAGCUCCGGAUCAAAUGGAUCAUGGACAAAAUUAGUGAUUGUUUAGUGAUACCAUAUGACCAGAUCCUGGUUAUCCUCAAACUGGAUGAUGAUUGGGUAUCCGGUUGGGAGGAGACGAAAAAUGCACUCAGCAUGUUGGGUUGCAUAGCUGGUGCACUGGUGUUGACCAUCGAAAAGGAAAAAGCCAAAGAAUAUUGUUGUCAGCUGCAGGAGCCUAUAGACUAUUCUGUUGUUGGCCUCUACCGUGGUAUGGUACUUGAGCUUGCAAACCAACACAUGAAAGAAGAUAACAAACAAAUUCUACUUGACAUAUUGGACAAGUGUAAGCAACAUGAAUUAUGCAUGAAGAUCUUCGUUCAUGCUUUGUACACCGACACCAAGUGGAGAAACGAUGAACUAAGCAAGUUGCACAGAGCCCUGCAGCAAGUUCCAAAUGACUCAUUGGACAACAUUGCUAUGAAGAUGUUCAAGUUCGCUUAUAAUGAUCUUCCUAAGGUAUACAAGUCAUGCUUGAUGUACCUAGCAAUUUUCCCUCGACGACAACGCAUCAGGCGGUCAACCUUGGUUGCACGGUGGGUCGUAGAAGGGCUGAUAACUGAGGAAGACUGGGCCUCUUCUGUGCAUCAUGCCAAUCAAUGUUUUGAAGCGCUUGUCGACCGGUGUCUUGUUUAUCCCACUGAUAUUGGUGUUGCGGGAUGGGUAAAGAGUUGUGCAAUAGGUGAUCUUGUUCAUGACUUCAUUACGAAGAUUGCCAGAGAACAUGGCAUUUUAGAAACACGUGUGUCACAUCACUUGGCUCUCCGCUUCUCCAUUUUCAACCACCUAAAGCUCCGUGGAUCUGACAAGAUUGACAGAUUCUUCGAAAAGCUCUAUGAAGAAUCAUCUCGGGUAUCCCUGAUCAAGGUGCUAGACCUCGAAGGUUGUCAAUGCUUUGGUGGAAAGAACCGGCGCUACCUCAAGGACAUCUGCAGCAAGAUGUUACUUCUCAAGUAUCUGAGCCUAAGGGGAACAAAUGUGACCCAACUUCCCAGUGAAAUCAACAACCUCCGUGAGCUGGAAGUAUUGGAUAUCCGAGAGACAUAUGUGCCUACACAAGCAACAGCAAAUGUGCUACUCCUGAAGUUGAAGCGUUUGCUGGCUGGUCGCGUUGUUCUGAGUUCUGGGGCAAUUAGUACUGAAGUAUCUAGUGUUGUGAUUCCUGAAAAGGUCGAAAAAAUGGUAAACAUGGAGGUAUUGUACAAUGUCAAGGCACGGACUAGACAAGAUUUGAAAGAUAUUGGAAAGUUGUGGCAGCUGAGGAAGCUUGGUGUGGUUAUUGAAAACAAGGAUUCACACCUCAGAAAUUUUCUUCAAGCUAUCAGUGAUCUGCAUGAGUGCCUCAAGUCUUUGUCAAUCACUCUUCCCAGAACAGAGGACGAAAAAUACUUCACACCCUAUAUUCUUGAACACUAUGAAAACACUCCCAAGCUUCUUGAGAGCCUAAGCAUUACUGGAGCCACACGAACGGUGCAACUUCUUCAGUUGUUGACCAGAUAUAAUGACCAAUCGCAACUUGGCAAGGUAACUCUAUCUGGUACCCUGCUGGGACAGGUUGAUCUGAAGUUCCUUGCCAAGCUGCCCAAAUUAGUUUGUCUCAGGCUCCGUGAGAAGGCAUGCAUGGAUAGCAAGCUCACCUUCAGCAAGGAAGAAUUCAAAAAACUCAAGUGCUUUCUUGUUGAGGGCUCCAACAUGACUGACAUCUGGUUUGAAGGUGGGGCCCUUAAGCUGGAGAAGAUCACUUUAUGCUCAACUGAUGGCAUACAAUCUCUUUCUGGGGUCGAAGCCCUUCCAGAACUGAAGGAAGUAGAGUUGAAGAACGGCAAUAAGCUUUCAUUAUUUGAAAAGACCAAAAACAUAUCCAAGGUGACAUUUCUUUGUACCACUCUCACUGAAGAUGAGGUACAAAUUAUUGCCAAGAUGUCAAGCAUCCGCUGCCUAGUACUCAAGGAGAAUUUGUAUGCUGAAAACAAUCUUAGUUUCAAGAAAGACAACUUCCCAUGGCUCAAUCUUCUUAUCAUCGACUUUUCUGUCACCACCAAGAUCAGCUUCGAUGGUGGAUCUGCUCCUAAGCUCGAGAAAAUUGUCUGCUCCUUCACCACGAAGCUCCAGAAAAUCGACAGCUCCUUCACCAAGGAAACGGUGGGUACUCUCAACAUCUCCGGUAUUGACAACCUUCCAAAACUGAAGGAGCUCGAGUUCAAUGGUGAUUUUGUCCCCUGUGAGAUGGAUGAAGCAUUGAAGAAACACAAGAACAAACCCAAGCUUAUUCACAACAAACCAGAAAAACAAUACCAAGAAGCAGGAAACAUAGCAGAAAAGAAAGAUGCUCGAAGAUUCCCAUUAUUCUGGAAGAAAGAGGAUUGA
rnacentral:rRNA from 1 species